UACUCUUGAGAAGACUACCCGUAAGAAGCUCCUUCAAAAGGGCUCAACAUCGGCACAGGCGACUGAUCCACCAACAGCAGCGUCAGCCUAGGAGACUGAUCCGAUAGCAGCGGCGGCACCCCAAACGGCUGUUGUGGCGGAAGUAGCAUCGGUAGUAGCAUCUCUUUUGAUAGAGGCUAUCCAGGUAAUCUCACUUAUUUGAAUCUCUCUAGAUAUUUUACCAGCGCUGACUCUUGUUUCCUUCAGCCCUCCACACAAUCGGCACUAGAAGAGCCCGUCCUAGUAUCGGCUAUACCUCCGCCUCCUUCAUCGGUUGAUCCGCAGGCUAAAGAUACUCAGGAGACUGCACCGGCCAUUACCCCAAUACUUGAAGUAAAACGCAUACUCUAUUCCAG
rnacentral:lncRNA from 1 species